CAGCGGAGGCACCGACGUCACACCUUGGCCCUCCGCGUCACAGCCUGGGAGGGGCGUGGAGUCUGUAGCCAGUAUGAUCCUCCCACGUUCCCCCCAGCCUGUCUGGUGAGGGCGUGGGGAGGGUCAGAAGGCACGCAGGGAUCUCUCCACGCGUUUCCUCAGCGUGUGGCGUGGCGGCAUCUCCUUCCUGCCACUGGUUUGAAUGCUGAAUUGCAGGUGAAUUGGCGUGUCUCUUCUCUCCCGGCGGAGCACCAUCAGGCCCUGCCGUCCAGGGAAGCACAGCAGCGAGAGUCAGCCGACCUGUGAGGGAUGCCGCCGCCCGGGUCCAGAGUGAGCUAGUAUUUCAGUACACACAGGUAAGAGAGCUACGCACCCACCAAUACAGCGAGACACACGACGCCGUCAACACGGAAAAUGUCACCAAGCUGUACACGUCACA